rnacentral:rRNA from 1 species
GAUGACGGCCUUUCGGGUUGUAAACCUCUUUUAGCAGGGAAGAAGCGAGAGUGACGGUACCUGCAGAAAAAGCGCCGGCUAACUACGUGCCAGCAGCCGCGGUAAUACGUAGGGCGCAAGCGUUAUCCGGAAUUAUUGGGCGUAAAGAGCUCGUAGGCGGUUUGUCGCGUCUGCUGUGAAAUCCCGAGGCUCAACCUCGGGCCUGCAGUGGGUACGGGCAGACUAGAGUGCGGUAGGGGAGAUUGGAAUUCCUGGUGUAGCGGUGGAAUGCGCAGAUAUCAGGAGGAACACCGAUGGCGAAGGCAGAUCUCUGGGCCGUAACUGACGCUGAGGAGCGAAAGGGUGGGGAGCAAACAGGCUUAGAUACCCUGGUAGUCCACCCCGUAAACGUUGGGAACUAGUUGUGGGGUCCAUUCCACGGAUUCCGUGACGCAGCUAACGCAUUAAGUUCCCCGCCUGGGGAGUACGGCCGCAAGGCUAAAACUCAAAGGAAUUGACGGGGACCCGCACAAGCGGCGGAGCAUGCGGAUUAAUUCGAUGCAACGCGAAGAACCUUACCAAGGCUUGACAUAUACGAGAACGGGCCAGAAAUGGUCAACUCUUUGGACACUCGUAAACAGGUGGUGCAUGGUUGUCGUCAGCUCGUGUCGUGAGAUGUUGGGUUAAGUCCCGCAACGAGCGCAACCCUCGUUCUAUGUUGCCAGCACGUAAUGGUGGGAACUCAUGGGAUACUGCCGGGGUCAACUCGGAGGAAGGUGGGGAUGACGUCAAAUCAUCAUGCCCCUUAUGUCUUGGGCUUCACGCAUGCUACAAUGGCCGGUACAAUGGGCAGCGAUACCGUGAGGUGGAGCGAAUCCCAAAAAGCCGGUCCCAGUUCGGAUUGAGGUCUGCAACUCGACCUCAUGAAGUCGGAGUCGCUAGUAAUCGCAGAUCAGCAACGCUGCGGUGAAUACGUUCCCGGGUCUUGUACACACCGCCCGUCAAGUCAUGAAAGUCGGUAACACCUGAAGCCGGUGGCCUAACCCUUGUGGAGGGAGCUGGCGAAUUUUGAUUUGGG